UUUUUUUUUUUUUUUUUUUUGAGUUUCUGUUUAUCUCAUAUGUUCCUUGACCAGGAACUAUUUCUUAAAAUAUCCAUUUUUCAGUUACAUGUUUGAAAAAUAAGUGAGAAUAUAUGUUUUUGUCUUUAUAAUUUAGAGGAUUACUUUUUUUUUUUUGUCUUUUUUGGGUCGCACCUGCUUAUGGAAGUUCCCAGGCUAGGGGUCAAAUUGGAGCUGUAGCUGCUGGCCUGCACCACAGCUACAGCGAUGCCAGAUCCAAGCUGUGUCUGUGACCUGUACCAUAGCUUACCUCAAAGCCGGAUCCUUAAACCACUGAGCGAGGCCAGGGAUCGAACUUGCAUCCUCAUGGACACUAGUCGGGCUUAUUACUGCUGAGCCACAAUGGGAACUCCUAGAGGAUUACUUAAAUUGCAUUGGUUUCCUUCUUUACAGCAUCCUGCACACAGUUUAUGUUGAAAAAAAUCUUGUGCUCAGCAUUUCAUAAUAGAAAAUGUACAGGCUUUGGAGUCAGCAGUCUUCGAACCUCUGCUUUACUCCUUCCUAGUUGCAUGAUUUUGGGCAAAUAGUAACUCCUCCAUGUCUAUACAAACCUCAGAAUAAUGUCACAGUGUAAUAAAAUUUAUAAAAAUAACAAUUUAGGAAUAAUAAUUCCUAUCUUACUAUCUUUCAGAAUUUUCAUGAGGAUUAGAGUUGAUGAGAUGUAAUAAGUACUCAACAAAAUGUAGCCAUUAUUUUUUUUUUUUGUCUUUUCAAGCGCCGGACCCGAAGCACAUGGAGGUUCCCAGGCUAGGGGUCGAAUCGGAGCUGUAGCUGCUGGCCUACACCACAGCCACAGCAACGUGGGAUCCGAGCCGGGUCUGCAACCUACACCACAGCUCACCGCAGUGCGGGAUCCCACUGAGUGAGGCCAGGGAUCCAACCUACAACCUCAUGGUUCCCAGCUGGCUUUGUUAACCACUGAGCCACAAUGGGAACUCCCUUUGGCCUUUUUUUUUUUUUUUUUUUUUUAAUGUAGCCAUUAUUGAACUGAAUUUUUUUUCUUCAUUUGCAGAGACUUCUGGACCUACUCAUGUAUUCAUAUAAUUGUGUUCCAUAAAUUAAUUUUAAAAUAGUCAAAAGUCCAAUAAGAAAAAAUAAGGAAGCCUAAUAUGAAAAACGACCAAUCUCACUAGGAAUUAAUGAAUUUCAAAUAAAAAAAUGAGAUUCUAUUUCAUACCCACUGGACUUACAAGAAUUUCAUUGGCCAGGACCAUUAUCAAGUUGACAAAGAUGUAUGGAAUCAAGAACUCAGACACUGUUUAUGGGAAUCUAAAGAAUCAUCACUGUUCUAGGUUUUUUUAAAAAAUUUUAUUGGAGUAUAGUUGAUUUACAAUGUUGUGUUAGUUUCAGGAGUACAGCAAAAGUGAUUCAGUCAUAAAUAUAUAUACAUACAUCCAUUCUCUUUCACAUUCUUUUCCCAUAUAGCUUAUUACAGAAUAUUGAGUAGAAUUCCUUGUGCUAUACAGUAGGUCCUUGUUGGUUAUUUAUUUUAUAUAUAGUACUCAGUAUAUGUUAAUCCCAAACUCUAAUUUACCCCCCCCCAUCUUUCCCCCUUGGUAACCAUAAGUUUGUAGGUGUUUUAAAGUGUGCUCCCCAAUUGAAUAUCAGUAUAACCUUAUGAAAUUUCAGUACUUCUAGGGAAUUUCAGAUUUUUUAAAAAAUUACUCAAUGAAUUUUAUAGGUGUACAACAAUCAUCAUAACCAAAUUUUUACAGCAUCUCCAUCCUGAACCCUCAGUGCAUCCCCCCACCCCCCAACCUGUCUCAUUUGGAAACCAUAAGUUUUUCAAAGUCUAUGAGUCAGUAUCUGUUCUGCAAAGAAGUUCAUUGUGUCCUUUUUUCAGAUUCCACAUGUAAGUGAUAGCAUUUGAUGUUGGUGUCUCAUUGUCUGACUGACUUGACUUAGCAUCAUCAUUUCUAGGUCCAUCCAUGUUGCUGCAAAUGACGCUAUUUCUUUCCUUUUACUGGCUGAGUAAUAUUCCAUUGUGUAUAUGUACCACAUCUUCUUGAUCCAAUCCUCUGUUGAUGGACAUUUAGGGGUGUUUCCAUGUCUUGGCUACUGUAUAUAGUGCUGCAGUGAACAUCGGAGUGCGUGUGUCUUUUCGCGUCAUGGUUUUCUCUGGAUAGAUGCCCAGGAGUGGGAUGGCUGGAUCAAAUGGUAGUUCUAUUUUUAGUUUUCUGAGGAAUUUCCAUACUGCUUUCCACAGUGGUUGCACCAAUUUACAUUCCCACCAGCAGUGUAAGAGGGUUCCUUUUUCUCCAUACCCCUCUCCAGCACUUACUGUUUGUAGACUUUUUGAUGAUGGCCAUUCUGGCUGGUGUAAGGUGGUACAUCAUAGUAGUUUUGAUUUGCAUUUCUCUAAUAAUGAGUGAUGUUGAACAUCUUUUCAUGUAUUUUUUGGCCACAUGUAUGUCUUCUUUGGAGAAUUGUCUGUUUAGAUCUGCCCAUUUUUUGAUGGGGUUGUUUGUUUUUUUGGUAUUGAGCUCUAGGAAGUGUUUCUAAAUUUUGGAGAUCAAUCCCUUGUCAGUCGAUUCAUUUGCAAAGAUUUUCUUCCAUUCUGUGGGUUGUCUUUUCUUUUUGUUUAGGGUUUCCUUUGCUGUGCAAAAGCUUUUAAGUUAAGUUCCCUUUGUUUAUUUUUGUUUUCACUGUCAUUAUUCUAAGAGGUGGAUCUGAGAAGAUGUUGCUGUCGUUUAUGUUGGAGAAUGUUUGGCUGAAUUUUUCCUUGAAGAGUUUUGUAGUGUCUGGUCUUAUAUCUAGGUCUCUAAUCCAUUUGGAGAUUAUUUUUGUGUAUGGUGUUAGGGAGUGUUCUAAUUUCGUUCUUUUCCAUGUGGCUGACCAGUUUUCCCAGCACCACUUAUUGAAGGGGCUGUCUUUUCUCCAUUGUAUAUUCUUGCCUCCUUUGUCAUUAUUAGUUGACUGUAGGUGUGUGUCAGAGAGAUUUGUAAAAGGAAGUUCAUUAUACAAGGAUGUUCAUUGAAGUACUGGUUAUAACUGUGAAGCAGUAGAAGUAAGUAACUUAUUGGAAUGGAUAAAUGUAUGUGUAUCUAUAUCUAUGUCUAUACUAUGGCAUAUUCGUUACCGGAAUUCUAUGAGUGAGGAGUUAAUAAGGCUGCAUGUGCUAGAGAACCAGCUACUGUACUUUAACCAAAAAAUAGAUGUUGCUUUUCCCACUUAAUAUGAAGUCCAGAGACUGGACUGCUUGUCAUUGCUCUGGUAGCUCCACAAAUCCAUCAACAGACCAGGCUUCUAUACAUCCUGCUCUGCCAUACGUAGCAUGUAGCUCUUUUUCUUAUGGUUACAAAAUGGCUGCAUUGCCACUAUGAAUCACAUCCUCAUCCUUGGUAGGAAAAAAAGUAAGAGGAAAGAAACAGGAGGAGGAGGCAGCUGAGGCAUCGAAUUUUCCUGAGCAAUCCCAAGCUGACUUUGCUCAAUCUUAUUAGCAAGAAACUGAGCUGCAAAAGCCUGGAGAAUAUUCUCUAACUUUUCAGGGCACAUGACUAUAUUGCAAAAACAUUAUGUUUCUCUUAGUAAGAAAAAAGUAUUGGAGUUCCCGUCUUGGCUCAGUGGUUAAUGAAUCUGACCAGGAACCAUGAAGUUUCAGGUUCAUUCCCUGGCCUCACUCAUUCGGUUAAGGAUCCGGUGUUGCCCUGAGCUGUGGUGUAGGUCACAGACACAGUUCAGAUCUGGCGUGGCUGUGGCUGUGGCAUAGGCCGGCGACUACAGCUUCCAUUUGACCCCUGGCCUGGGAACUUCCAUAUGCCUUGGGUGCGGCCC
rnacentral:lncRNA from 1 species